rnacentral:lncRNA from 1 species
AGAGUGAGAUCCUGUCUCUAAAGAAAAAAAAAUUAAUUAAUUAUACAAGUAAUAUAUGAUUUUAUUCCCAUGCUAAAAAUAGUCAAACAACAAAGAUCAUGUAACAACCCAUGUAAUCAGUUUGGUUUUUUUUCCUCUGGUUCUUACUCAACGCAUUUACAUAUAUGUCUAGUGUAUACAGUAUACGCGUGUGCGGCGUACGCAGUAUACGCGUGUCCGGCAUACGCAGAAUAUGCGUGUCUGGUGUACGCAGUAUAUGCGUGUCUGGUGUAUGCAGUAUAUGCAUGUGUACAUAUGUAUGUACACAUAUAUAUCUAUAUAUAUAUCACAUUGUACAAUUUACAUUAUACUUUUUUCCUCUG